CCUACGGGUGGCAGCAGUGGGGAAUAUUGCACAAUGGGGGGAACCCUGAUGCAGCGACGCCGCGUGGGUGAAGGAGUAUUUCUGUAUGUAAAGCCCUAUCAGCAGGGAAGAACAAUGACGGUACCUGACUAAGAAGCACCGGCUAAAUACGUGCCAGCAGCCGCGGUAAAACGUAUGGUGCAAGCGUUAUCCGGAUUUACUGGGUGUAAAGGGAGCGCAGGCGGCGCGUUAAGCCUUGUGUGAAAGCCCGGGGCCCAACCGCGGGACUGCAUUGGGAACUGGCGCGCUGGAGUGCCGGAGGGGUAGGCGGAAUUCCUAGUGUAGCGGUGAAAUGCGUAGAUAUUAGGAGGAACACCAGUGGCGAAGGCGGCCUACUGGACGGUGACUGACGCUGAGGCUCGAAAGCGUGGGGAGCGAACAGGAUUAGAUACCCGGGUAGUC
rnacentral:rRNA from 1 species